CUGAGUUUACAACUCCCAAACCCACUGUGAACAUACCUAUCGUUGCUUCGGCGGGACUGCCCCGGCGCGCCCUCAGGGGCUUGCCCGGAAUCAGGCGCCCGCCGGAGGCCCCAAACUCUUGAUUUCCCGCACAGCGGCAGUAAUUCUCUGAGUGGCAAACGCAAAAUAAAUUA
rnacentral:misc_RNA from 1 species